CACCAAAAAGGGUUUUCUAAAAAUCUAAAAUCUCACUAACAGCAAAAAAGGGAAAAGAAGAGAAAAGCGGAUUUGAAUGUGAGAAACAGCGAAACGCGUGUAGGAUAGCGAUGAAAGAAGAAAAUUCGACUUGCGGACGGGGAAGUGGCUAGUUCGAACAGGUUUUUGGGUGGACGAAGCAAGCUAUGGUCGCCUAUCUCGAGCGCGGAAGACAUUGAUUGCAAGCAAAACAUACUCGGGGAGAAAUUUACUUCGGUGACUUU
ensembl:ncRNA F47B7.15 ncRNA